AUUGAACGCUGGCGGCAUGCCUUACACAUGCAAGUCGAACGGCAGCACGGGAGCUUGCUCCUGGUGGCGAGUGGCGAACGGGUGAGUAAUACAUCGGAACGUACCCUGAAGUGGGGGAUAACGUAGCGAAAGUUACGCUAAUACCGCAUAUUCUGUGAGCAGGAAAGAGGGGGAUCGCAAGACCUCUUGCUUUAGGAGCGGCCGAUGUCGGAUUAGCUAGUUGGUGAGGUAAAGGCUCACCAAGGCGACGAUCCGUAGCGGGUCUGAGAGGAUGAUCCGCCACACUGGGACUGAGACACGGCCCAGACUCCUACGGAGGCAGCAGUGGGGAAUUUUGGACAAUGGGCGCAAGCCUGAUCCAGCCAUGCCGCGUGAGUGAAGAAGGCCUCGGUUGUAAGAC
rnacentral:rRNA from 1 species